rnacentral:lncRNA from 1 species
UUAUGAAAUAAUGGGAAGGGGGGCCUUAAUGAGCAGAAAGCAUCCUCAGCUGGAGAUAAAUAUAUGCAAAUGAGAUGCACAAACAAAGGAGCCUGGACAGAGAAAUAUCUGCAAUUCUAGCAAAAUGCUGCCUGCAGCUCGAAGAUGAACAGCUUUGAUAAAAUGCGAGAAAUAUUCCUCAUGUGGGCGGAGGACUCAGGCACACGGGACCUGCAACAAGCAACGAGGCUAAAAAAUAGUUAAAAUGAAUCAACAUUUAUCUGGAAUCUACAGUCUUGACCUAAAAAAAAAAAAAUCAUUUAUCUUCCGUGUCCUGUGAUGUUUUGAGGAUUCUGGCAAAUAUGGCAGUUAAACAAACUUCUCUCAUAAUCUAAAUACUGUCUGUUCAAGAGAGGCUUCCAAUGUUUAUAGCCCAUAAGUAAAGAAAAAAAAAAAAAAAAAAAACUGGUAUUUCACCAAGAACAGUGCUCUUGAAAAUGUCUCUGAACAAAGUGUUCAAGCAAAACUUUGACCGCAGAUAUUUUCAAUUCCUCAUUCUUCCUCUGAUUUUUUUUUUCAAUGAGGUAUUCUGAUAGUCUCUCCUUUCACUCCUUUUUCUUGAAAGUAAUGAAUGCAUUUCCAAAAAAUUAACGCCUGACUAGUGACCUGGUCAUACAAACUUCCUUGAGAAACAGUUGAGAAGAAAACAUCACAUUUUUAUGAACCCCGUCUCCUGCCAGGGGCCCCGGAGGAGGAACACCAUUAUGCAUUGUUAUCAGCGUGGUGUAAUUUGACUGUUGACAAAGUAUCCGUGGCAGUGAGAAUGAGCGCAGUUAGAAGUGUGGCGGAUUGUAAUCAAGAAGAUGCUUAGCUGUGCAACACUGCAUCUUGAGCAGAUUUGAAUCAACAUUGCCUUAAGGGGACACACACACAUACCAAAAGGAACAAAAAAAAAAAAUCCAUUAAUUUUUAGAGGGAAAAUUAGAGUGGCACUUGAUGAAGUGAAAUUUGACAUGCGUUAAUUGCUCUGCAGCUCCCCUAAUUAGAGAUUUUCAA